rnacentral:lncRNA from 1 species
ACCACCAUGAAUCGCCCCAUAACCACUCAUCCUAAUUGCACUAAAGAUGAAAUCAGCAAAUCCUUUGUCCUUGGAGAGUUGCAUGGUCGGUGCAAGAAAAAGGAAGAAACAGUAUUAUAAUGAUUUUAUGAUUGGUUUAUGGAAAUUCAACUGUUCAUGCAGCGGACACACCAAGAGAAAUUUUAUCACACGGAAGGCCAAGAUCAACCACAAUAAUUAGGUUUAGUAACUAGUGGUUUUCAUUCUCAAAUAAUACACUUAAGAAUAUAGAAUAAAAAAUGUUACACAUAUUUUUCAUACCACAUUUAUCUCACAUCUUUAAUAAAAAGAUAAUCCACUUGUAUUGGUGGGUCCUACCUCUAUUUGAGAUGUGAUACUCUAUAGAGUAUUAUAGUUUGUCUAAAUUAAGCAGGGUUUUGAAAGAAAAACGUGGUAAUGUUCAUAUUAAAUUAUAAGUUGGAUCCAUGUGUUAACACGUGGAUCCAAUUUUAACUGAAUAAUAUAUAUGUCAGUCAGUUUGUCGCGUGUCAAAGAGCUAGGCACCACAUUUCAUCUAAAGAAUUUUGGGACUUCGAUUUUAGUAAUUAUCUUAUACCAAAACAUUUUUGAGAUUGUUUCAGGCUAUUUGAUGUCUCUUUAAUUAAGACUUGUUAUAAGUUAUAACCAGUCUUAAUUAAAAAGAUGUCACAAACACUUUAGAAUAGUCAUUCUAUACUCGUUUCAUUCCAACAUAUGGUCAAUUUCAUUCCAACAUAUGGUCAAGUUAUAAGUUAUAACCAAUCUUAAUUAGGGAGAUGUCCCAAAGUUUGAUUCCAAUAUCUUGUUAUAAAACAAUAUAGGAGUCCAAGAUGAUUGUGUCAUAUAUUCUAAUACCACACGUGUCAUAUUCUAAGCAUAUUACGAACAGUAAUAAUUUGUAUUAGUUGUAUAGAGAGUGAGUCAUCUAUACUAUAUUAGUUGCACGUUAAUGGGUAGUGAUGAUCUCGUGCAUGGAUUUAGAAAAGCUCCGCCAUCCACGUAUAGCUACAAAAUAACUUUUUUAUUCUAACUAAACCGAAAACCAACUAAAAAAACUUUUAUUUGGAGAUUGCACUACCUACUCCCUAUUUUCAUUGGACACUAAUUGAAUUAGCAACUUCUACUUCAUACUACGGUCUAAUGAUAAGGAUAUUAUUCUUUACUUGUAAAUGAGAGAUCUUAUGUUCGAUUUUCGUUAAAGUCGAAAUUGAACCACUUUAU